UACAGAGGGUGCAAGCGUUGUUCGGAAUUACUGGGCGUAAAGGGCGUGUAGGCGGUUUAACAAGUCAGAUGUGAAAUCCCAGGGCUUAACCCUGGAAGUGCAUUUGAAACUGUUAGGCUAGAGUGCUGUAGAGGAUGGCGGAAUACCCAGUGGAGAGGUGAAAUUCGUAGAUAUUGGGUGGAACACCGGUGGCGAAGGCGGCCAUCUGGGCAGCAACUGACGCUGAGGCGCGAGAGCGUGGGGAGCAAACAGG
rnacentral:rRNA from 1 species